rnacentral:ncRNA from 2 species
GCGAGCGGAGUGCGGUGAAAGUCGCUUGCUCCGUUCUUAGGGGGCCGUGCUUUCGGAAGGGAGCGCGGCUACCCACU